UACGUAGGGUGCGAGCGUUAAUCGGAAUUACUGGGCGUAAAGCGCGCGCAGGCGGCCAUUCAAGUCAGGGGUGAAAGCCCAGAGCUCAACUCUGGAACUGCCCUUGAAACUGUAUGGCUUGAGUAUGAGAGAGGUGAGUGGAAUUCCCAGUGUAGAGGUGAAAUUCGUAGAUAUUGGGAAGAACACCGGUGGCGAAGGCGGCUCACUGGCUCAUUACUGACGCUCAGGCGCGACAGCGUGGGGAUCAAACAGG
rnacentral:rRNA from 1 species